rnacentral:rRNA from 1 species
UUGGAGGGCAAGUCUGGUGCCAGCAGCCGCGGUAAUUCCAGCUCCAAUAGCGUAUAUUAAAGUUGUUGCAGUUAAAAAGCUCGUAGUUGAAUUUCGGGGUCAGUAGGUCGGUCGUGCCACUGGUAUGAACUGGUUUUACUGAUUCCUCCCUCUUGAAGAACUGUAAUGCCAUUAAUUUGGUGUUGCAGGGAAUCAGGACUGUUACUUUGAAAAAAUUAGAGUGUUUAAAGCAGGCUUUAGCUUGAAUACAUUAGCAUGGAAUAAUGAAAUAGGACGUUUGAUCCUAUUUUGUUGGUUUCUAGGAUUGACGUAAUGAUUAAUAGGGAUAGUUGGGGGCAUUAGUAUUCAAUUGUCAGAGGUGAAAUUCUUGGAUUUAUUGAAGACUAACUUCUGCGAACGCAUUUGCCAAGGAUGUUUUCAUUAAUCAAGAACGAAAGUUAGGGGAUCGAAGACGAUCAGAUACCGUCGUAGUCUUAACCAUAAACUAUGCCGACUAGGGAUCGGACGAUGUUAAUUUUUUAACGACUCGUUCGGCGCCUUACGGGAAAC